rnacentral:rRNA from 1 species
GAUGAACGCUGGCGGCGUGCCUAAUACAUGCAAGUCGAGCGAACGGACGAGAAGCUUGCUUCUCUGAUGUUAGCGGCGGACGGGUGAGUAGCACGUGGAUAACCUACCUAUAAGACUGGGAUAACUUCGGGAAACCGGAGCUAAUACCGGAUAAUAUUUUGAACCGCAUGGUUCAAAAGUGAAAGACGGUCUUGCUGUCACUUAUAGAUGGAUCUGCGCUGCAUUAGCUAGUUGGUAAGGUAACGGCUUACCAAGGCAACGAUGCAUAGCCGACCUGAGAGGGUGAUCGGCCACACUGGAACUGAGACACGGUCCAGACUCCUACGGGAGGCAGCAGUAGGGAAUCUUCCGCAAUGGGCGAAAGCCUGACGGAGCAACGCCGCGUGAGUGAUGAAGGUCUUCGGAUCGUAAAACUCUGUUAUUAGGGAAGAACAUAUGUGUAAGUAACUGUGCACAUCUUGACGGUACCUAAUCAGAAAGCCACGGCUAACUACGUG